rnacentral:rRNA from 1 species
GUGAGUAGUUCAGAGUUUGAUCCUGGCUCAGGGAUGAACGCUGGCGGCGUGCUUAACACAUGCAAGUCGAACGGACUUUAACAGAAAGCUUGCUUUUAGUUAAAGUUAGUGGCGGACGGGUGAGUAACGCGUGGGUAACCUGCCGUAUACAGGGGGAUAACACUUAGAAAUAGGUGCUAAUACCGCAUAAGCGCACAGCUUCGCAUGAGGCAGUGUGAAAAAACUCCGGUGGUAUACGAUGGACCCGCGUCUGAUUAGCUAGUUGGUGAGGUAACGGCCCACCAAGGCGACGAUCAGUAGCCGGCCUGAGAGGGUGAACGGCCACAUUGGGACUGAGACACGGCCCAA